GCGUUAAUCGGAAUUACUGGGCGUAAAGCGUGCGCAGGCGGUUCGGAAAGAAAGGUGUGAAAUCCCAGGGCUUAACCUUGGAACUGCACUUUUAACUACCGGGCUAGAGUACGUCAGAGGGGGGUAGAAUUCCACGUGUAGCAGUGAAAUGCGUAGAGAUGUGGAGGAAUACCGAUGGCGAAGGCAGCCCCCUGGGAUGAUACUGACGCUCAUGCACGAAAGCGUGGGGAGCAAACAGG
rnacentral:rRNA from 1 species